GACGAACGCUGGCGGCGUGCUUAACACAUGCAAGUCGAACGGAAAGGCCCUGCUUUUGUGGGGUGCUCGAGUGGCGAACGGGGGAGUAACACGUUAGUAACCUGCCCUUGACUUUGGGAUAACUUCAGGAAACUGGGGCUAAUACCGGAUAGGAGCUCCUGCUGCAUGGGGGGGGUUGGAAAGUUUCGGCGGUUGGGGAUGGACUCGCGGCUUAUCAGCUUGUUGGUGGGGUAGUGGCUUACCAAGGCUUUGACGGGUAGCCGGCCUGAGAGGGUGACCGGCCACAUUGGGACUGAGAUACGGCCCAGACUCCUACGGGAGGCAGCAGUGGGGAAUAUUGCACAAUGGGCGGAAGCCUGAUGCAGCAACGCCGCGUGCGGGAUGACGGCCUUCGGGUUGUAAACCGCUUUCGCCUGUGACGAAGCGUGAGUGACGGUAAUGGGUAAAGAAGCACCGGCUAACUACGUG
rnacentral:rRNA from 1 species